UACGUAGGGGGCAAGCGUUGUCCGGAAUCAUUGGGCGUAAAGAGCGUGUAGGCGGCCAGAUAAGUCCGCUGUGAAAACUCGAGGCUCAACUUCGAGCUGUCGGCGGAAACUAUCUGGCUAGAGUCCGGAAGAGGAGAGUGGAAUUCCUGGUGUAGCGGUGAAAUGCGCAGAUAUCAGGAAGAACACCCGUGGCGAAGGCGGCUCUCUGGGACGGUACUGACGCUGAGACGCGAAAAGCGUGGGGAGCGAACAGG
rnacentral:rRNA from 1 species